AAUAAUGCUUUAACAUUUAAUCAUAGUGACAUAAAGGGGAAAGAAAAUAUAAUUAACCUAUAAUUCGAAUCUAAAGUCACGUGGAUGGAAAUUCAAAUUCGUAGGCGUUACGUUUUGGCUGUCGGUCAGGAAUCGGGAUGCAUUGAUAAAGUGAAUAUUAUAGAUUUUCUUGAACAAAAAGGUAGUUAAAGUGUUGGACAUGCUCUCAAAGGCCGGAGGGACGGAAACACGUGAAUAUGUAAAAAGAAACAUAGGAAAUGAAAAUGAUGUCACACACGCUAUUGGACGCUACAAACGCUACAUAUCCUCCGGACAGACGAGGGGUGCUGAAAGAAGGUCAUAUCUUAAAGCAUCACACCUCAAAAUUCGUGCUAAUUCUCAUGGAUAUCUAAAAGUAUAACUUUGUGAAGUAACUAAAAGGCAGCAAUUUAUACAUUACUGACAAUUAUCAAAGGAGAUCAAAAUAUGCAAAAUGGCACUAAAUGUUUUAGAAAUGCUGUAGAAAUAUAGUUAAAAUACUGAAAAUCUGUCAUUAAUUGCUUGAAACAUUAUUAUCAGAAUCUUUUAACUUUUCUUAAAUUAUAAUAUUUUCAUUAUUUUAUUUGAUAAGGCAAACUUUGAUAGAAAUGUGCAUACAUUGUUUUGUUCUUUAAUAUGUGUACAUGUUUUCUUAGUUUCAUUUAUGUCAUUGUUUUUGUAAUACUUUUUGUUUUGUAAUUAACUUAUUUUAUGUUUUAUUUUGUUUAAUUUAUGAAAAUUAUUUAACCUUGCAGAAUUUACUAAAAUUGUAUGUAUCAGCUUAAAAUUGCAACUUUUAUUUUAAAUUAAAAAAGCAUAAAACAUAUUUUUGCUUUUAGUUUUCUGUUAUACAUUUCAUUGGAGGGAAAGUUACUUAAUA